rnacentral:rRNA from 1 species
AUUGAACGCUGGCGGCAGGCCUAACACAUGCAAGUCGAGCGGAUGAGAGGAGCUUGCUCCUUGAUUCAGCGGCGGACGGGUGAGUAAUGCCUAGGAAUCUGCCUGGUAGUGGGGGACAACGUUUCGAAAGGAACGCUAAUACAGCAUACGUCCUACGGGAGAAAGCAGGGGACUUUCGGGCCUUGCGCUAUCAGAUGAGCCUAGGUCGGAUUAGCUAGUUGGUGAGGUAAUGGCUCACAAAGGCGACGAUCCGUAACUGGUCUGAGAGGAUGAUCAGUCACACUGGAACUGAGACACGGUCCAGACUCCUACGGGAGGCAGCAGUGGGGAAUAUUGGACAAUGGGCGAAAGCCUGAUCCAGCCAUUCCGCGUGUGUGAAGAAGGUCUUCGGAUUGUAAAGCACUUUAAGUUGGGAGGAAGGGCAGUAAGUUAAUACCUUGCUGUUUUGACGUUACCGACAGAAUAAGCACCGGCUAACUCUGUGCCAGCCGCCGCAGUAA